GUCUUUCGGCCAUCGCGGGCGGUGAAGAUGUUGCCGAGCGGCUUGUCGCCUUUGACGAGGAGGCGGAGCUUGCUCUGGUCGUUGCCGGACUUCAUGCGCAGCUCGCGUUCCUCGACACCGCUCGCCUUGAGGCCGAUGAUCAUGCCGACCGCCUCGGCGCUCUCGUUCAGCGCGGCAUCCGACUCGUUUUGCGCCACGGAGACGCUG
rnacentral:misc_RNA from 1 species